rnacentral:rRNA from 1 species
UUUAUCGGAGAGUUUGAUCCUGGCUCAGGACGAACGCUGGCGGCGUGCCUAAUACAUGCAAGUCGAGCGGACAGAUGGGAGCUUGCUCCCUGAUGUUAGCGGCGGACGGGUGAGUAACACGUGGGUAACCUGCCUGUAAGACUGGGAUAACUCCGGGAAACCGGGGCUAAUACCGGAUGUUUGUUUGAACCGCAUGGUUCAGACAUAAAAGGUGGCUUCGGCUACCACUUACAGAUGGACCCGCGGCGCAUUAGCUAGUUGGUGAGGUAACGGCUCACCAAGGCGACGAUGCGUAGCCGACCUGAGAGGGUGAUCGGCCACACUGGGACUGAGACACGGCCCAGACUCCUACGGGAGGCAGCAGUAGGGAAUCUUCCGCAAUGGACGAAAGUCUGACGGAGCAACGCCGCGUGAGUGAUGAAGGUUUUCGGAUCGUAAAGCUCUGUUGUUAGGGAAGAACAAGUGCCGUUCAAAUAGGGCGGCACCUUGACGGUACCUAACCAGAAAGCCACGGCUAACUACGUGCCAGCAGCCGCGGUAAUACGUAGGUGGCAAGCGUUGUCCGGAAUUAUUGGGCGUAAAGGGCUCGCAGGCGGUUUCUUAAGUCUGAUGUGAAAGCCCCCGGCUCAACCGGGGAGGGUCAUUGGAAACUGGGGAACUUGAGUGCAGA